rnacentral:rRNA from 1 species
GCUCACCUAGGCGACGAUCCCUAGCUGGUCUGAGAGGAUGACCAGCCACACUGGAACUGAGACACGGUCCAGACUCCUACGGGAGGCAGCAGUGGGGAAUAUUGCACAAUGGGCGCAAGCCUGAUGCAGCCAUGCCGCGUGUGUGAAGAAGGCCUUAGGGUUGUAAAGCACUUUCAGCGAGGAGGAAGGGUUCAAGUGUUAAUAGCACUGUGCAUUGACGUUACUCGCAGAAGAAGCACCGGCUAACUCCGUGCCAGCAGCCGCGGUAAUACGGAGGGUGCAAGCGUUAAUCGGAAUUACUGGGCGUAAAGCGCACGCAGGCGGUUUGUUAAGUCAGAUGUGAAAUCCCCGAGCUUAACUUGGGAACUG